GACGAACGCUGGCGGCGUGCUUAACACAUGCAAGUCGAACGGAAAGGCCUGUCCUUCCUUGUGUUGGACGGGUACUCGAGUGGCGAACGGGUGAGUAACACGUGAGUGAUCUGCCCCCAACUUGGGUAUAAGCCUGGGAAACUGGGUCUAAUUCCCGAUAGGACUGCAGGGUGGUGCCUGUGGUGGAAAACGAUUUUCUAGUGGUUGGGGAUGAGCUCGCGGCCUAUCAGCUUGUUGGUGGGGUAAUGGCCUACCAAGGCGGCGACGGGUAGCCGGCCUGGGAGGGUGGACGGCCACAUUGGGACUGAGAUACGGCCCAGACUCCUACGGGAGGCAGCAGUGGGGAAUAUUGCACAAUGGGCGGAAGCCUGAUGCAGCGACGCCGCGUGGGGGAUGACGGCCUUCGGGUGGUAAACUCCUUUCGACCGCGAGGAAGCCGCCUGGUUGGAAGGGUGGUGACGGUAGUGGUAGAAGAAGCACUGGCUAACUACGUG
rnacentral:rRNA from 1 species